CCUACGGGAGGCAGCAGUAGGGAAUAUUGCACAAUGGGGGAAACCCUGAAGCAGCAACGCCGCGUGGAGGAUGAAGGUUUUCGGAUUGUAAACUCCUUUUGUUAGAGAAGAUAAUGACGGUAUCUAACGAAUAAGAACAGGCGAACUCCGGGCCAGCAGCCGAGGUAAUACGGAGGGUGAAAGCGUGAGUGGGAAUCACUGGGCGUAAAGAGCGCGUAGGCGGGAUAGCAAGUCAGAUGUGAAAUCCUAUGGCUUAACCAUAGAACUGCAUUUGAAACUGUUAUUCUAGAGUAUGGGAGAGGUAGGUGGAAUUCUUGGUGUAGGGGUAAAAUCCGUAGAGAUCAAGAGGAAUACUCAUGGCGAAGGCGACCUGCUAGAACAUAACUGAC
rnacentral:rRNA from 1 species